CUCUUGCUGCCUUUCGCCCUCCACCAUGAUUGUGAGACCUUCCCCAGCCACAUGGAACUAAGUGCCUUUUGCCCUCCACUAUGAUUGUGAGACCUUCCCCAGCUACAUGGACGGGACUUACAGUAUCAUAAGAAAGAUAGACAUUUAAAUCAUCUCAACAAGGACAAUGGACAUCAUGGAAUCACACAGCAGGAGAACCUCGCCUAGUCUACCGAUCAGAUACUCCAUGCAGUUGUCACCUCCUCUAUGAAGCCUCUCCUGCCCCUUCCAAGUAGAACUGUCCAUUCCAUCUGUGGCAGAGUCUGGCUACAUGUUCAUCAAACCCUGUUUCAAAUAUCCUCCUCUGCAUGUCAUUACACUGUAUCUCCCAGCCCCCUUGCAUCUACAUGAGGCCGCAUGACCACAUGCUGGGUCACUUCUGGGCCAAAAUGGUAUUGGAGAGUCCAUCUUCUCCACUCUGGCUCUCUUUCCAUGCACCAGAUAGGUGAUUUUUAGUGAUCUUUAGUGGAAGAUGAAACAGGUCUGUAUCUCUAAAUGACUUUGUGGAGUGGAGCUUCCCUUCCCAAGCUGACCCACAAUAAACUCUGAUGUGAGCAAGAAAUACAUUUUGUUAUGUCAAGUCACUUAAAUUUGGGAGUGCAUCUAUUACAGCAACUAGCAUUACUUACCCUAUGGUACCAGCCUCUAUUAAGAUUAUAUUUAUAUCUCAG
rnacentral:lncRNA from 1 species